rnacentral:rRNA from 1 species
AGAGUUUGAUCCUGGCUCAGGACGAACGCUGGCGGCGUGCUUAACACAUGCAAGUCGAACGAGGUCGAUCCGGUAGCAAUACUGGUGAAAACCUAGUGGCGAACGGGUGAGUAACACGUGAGCAACCUGCCCCGAAGACCGGGAUAACAGCGGGAAACCGCUGCUAAUACCGGAUGCCCCCAUCGAACCACAUGGUCUGA